UACGUAGGGGGCUAGCGUUGUCCGGAUUUAUUGGGCGUAAAGAGCGUGUAGGCGGCCAGGUAGGUCUGCUGUGAAAACUCGAGGCUCAACCUCGAGACGUCGGCGGAAACCAUCUGGCUAGAGUCCGGAAGAGGAGAGUGGAAUUCCUGGUGUAGCGGUGAAAUGCGCAGAUAUCAGGAAGAACACCCGUGGCGAAGGCGGCACUCUGGG
rnacentral:rRNA from 1 species